rnacentral:rRNA from 1 species
AAACGUAGGAGGCAAGCGUUAUCCGGAUUUAUUGGGCGUAAAGCGCGUGCAGGCUGUUUGGAAAGUUGGAUGUGAAAGCUCCUGGCUUAACUGGGAGAGGUCGUUCAAAACUACCAAACUAGAGAAUGGGAGAGGGAAGUGGAAUUCCGGGUGUAGUGGUGAAAUGCGUAGAUAUCCGGAGGAACACCAGUGGCGAAAGCGGCUUCCUGGACCAUUUCUGACGCUUAGACGCGAAAGCUAGGGGAGC